rnacentral:tRNA from 1 species
GAAGGGAUAUCUCAAAUGGUUAAGUGCAUGCUUAGCAUGCAUGAGGUCCUGGGUUCAGUCCCCAGUACCUCUU